UGGGGAAUAUUGGACAAUGGGCGCAAGCCUGAUCAGCAAUGCCGCGUGGGUGAAGAAGGUCUUCGGAUUGUAAAGCCCUUUCGACAGGGACGAUGAUGACGGUACCUGUAGAAGAAGCCCCGGCUAACUUCGUGCCAGCAGCCGCGGUAAUACGAAGGGGGCUAGCGUUGCUCGGAAUUACUGGGCGUAAAGGGCGCGUAGGCGGCUUGCUUAGUCAGACGUGAAAAUCCUGGGCUUAACCUGGGGACUGCGUUUGAUACGGGCAGGCUUGAGGAUGGAAGAGGCUCGUGGAAUUCCCAGUGUAGAGGUGAAAUUCGUAGAUAUUGGGAAGAACACCGGUGGCGAAGGCGGCGAGCUGGUCCAUUACUGACGCUGAGGCGCGACAGCGUGGGGAGCAAACAGGAUUAGAUACCCUGGUAGUCCACGCCGUAAACGAUGUGCGCUGGAUGUCGGGUGGCCUAGCCACUCAGAGUCGUAGCCAACGCGAUAAGCGCACCGCCUGGGGAGUACGGCCGCAAGGUUGAAACUCAAAUGAAUUGACGGGGUCAUAGCUGUUUCCU
rnacentral:rRNA from 1 species